CUACGGGUUGCAGCAGGCGAGAAAACUUUGCAAUGUGCGAAAGCACGACAAGGUUAAUCCGAGUGGUUUGUGCUAAACGAACCUUUUGACAGUCCUAGAAACACUGUUGAAUAAGGGGUGGGCAAGUUCUGGUGUCAGCCGCCGCGGUAAAACCAGCACCUCAAGUGGUAAGGAUGAUUAUUGGGCCUAAAGCAUCCGUAGCCGGCUCUGUAAGUUUUCGGUUAAAUCUGUACGCUCAACGUACAGGCUGCCGGGAAUACUGCAGAGCUAGGGAGUGGGAGAGGUAGACGGUACUCGGUAGGAAGGGGUAAAAUCCUUUGAUCUAUUGAUGACCACCUGUGGCGAAGGCGGUCUACCAGAACACGUCCGACGGUGAGGGAUGAAAGCUGGGGGAGCAAACCGGAUUAGAUACCCCCGUAGUC
rnacentral:rRNA from 1 species